GUGGUAAGGUUUCCAGAUUUAUAGCUUCAAGUAUGACCCUUGUACUGUUGCACAUCUCAUACUAUGUACUGAAGUGUUCUGUCUCACAGAAUUGGCAAUUUAAAUGGGAUUGUUUGAAGGUGUCCGUUAAUUGAAGUGAAUAUAAAUAUGCAAUACCUGACUAUACGUAUACGGUAUGGGUGUUGUGUAUUGUUGUAGACUGAACGUUGGUCUAUGUCCCCUACAUUUACGUUAUUUUUGUUUCUGGCGGAUAUAUAGUUAGCUCUUUGGCAGUCAUACCACAUCUUCUAAUGAUAUAUAAGGUUUAUUUAAACAUAGAAUUGUUUCAUGAAAAUAUGUGUUUUAUGGAAACAAGUAAUAAAUAAAAUAGGCAGGUCUCAACAUCAGGUCUCAAAACCCUGGUUUAAUAAGAAUUUCGCAGUAAAUAUUACGCAACACUUAAAUCGCCUCUCUGGACAAAUACAUUACAAGUUUCGAGUCAAAAACAUGUUUAAUAAGGCAGACGGGUAGAGGUGUAGUAAUGGACAAUUGCAUAUUGUAACUAAAUAAUACUGGUAUGUAAUAUAUAUAAUGUAUCCAUUAAGAGGCUAAUGUAGCCUGUUUCCGAAGAGAUCCAUUAAGAGGCUAAUGAUCGCUGCAGUUCCAUUCAGAGGAUUUCCGAAGAGAUAAGAGGCUAAUGUAGCCUGUUUAGAUUAAUGUGAGAUUUCAGAGGCUAAUGUAGGAGAUCCACAGAGGCUAAGCCUGUUUCGAGAUCCUAAGUUCCGAAGAGAUCCAUUAAGAGGCUAAUGUAGCCUGUUUCCGAAGAGAUUUUUUAGACUUUACUUUGAUUUCACUGACACUGUCAUUGCAUUUCGGAGAUUCUGCUGCUGCAAUGCCGGAUGGAUUUACAUGUAUAUUAGGUUCCCGCAAUGAAGUGUUAGGAAGGUCUUGUUUGUCUGAUUCAUUUUUAUCUAAAUGAGGUACUAAGAUAACUUUUUCCGGUUGACUUUCCGGUGUAUCAUUUGUUUGUUCAGAUGGCCUAUCACUCAGAUUUGAUUUUGGGAACAUUUGUUCUUUGUUGACAACUUUUGGUAAUCUAUCGGGGAGAUUUUGUACACUUCUAGUUUCCUGAGUUUGCUUUUCAUGUAAUUUUAACUUAGGGUCUUGUUUCUCUUUAUUAGCUAUUCUGGAGAAACGCAACCUGAGUUCAUCUUGUACGGCCAUUUUGUGAACACCGUAUUUAUCGUCAGUAACUGUAUCAUUUUCAUUGUCUAUCCUUUCUUGUUUCUUUAAUUUUGGUUUCGGUUUGAUUUCAGGCUUUGGUUUUACUUCGGGUUUUUGUUUGAUUUCGGGUUUUGGCUUGAUUUCCGGUUUUUCUGUCGAUUGAGCGUUCAUCUUUUUUGGCAUCCUAACAUUUUGAACGUCCAUAGUAUGAACUCUUACCGGUUUAUUUUUUGUACUUGGUGAACUAUGUUCAGUAUUAGUCCGUUUUAGAACAUGAACAUGUGAAUCGGAUCGGUCCUUUCGGAUGGCAUUGUCAACAUAUGGCGCACUUGUUCUUUUAAUUGACCCACGCCUCUCUUUCUCGUCUUGUUUUUUAAGCGAACCUCGUCUCCCUUUUUCAUCGUUUUUAAGUACUGACCCCCUUCUUCCUCUUUCGUCCUGUUUUGGAUCUUCAUGAACAUAAACGGCAUGCAUAAUAGUGGUCACUUUUUUCUUCGAUGAUGCCAAUGAUUGCUCCUGUGGUGGGGCAGAUGGAUUUCUCAAAAUUCCAGGUGAGCGGUGUGGAAUUUUAAUCUGUGAGGCAUGUUCACCGGGUUCGUGGACUCGUACAGAUGUUUGUCGUUGUAGUUUCAAAUGUUCGCUGGAAGCAGGUAUAUGAAAUAAUGGUGUAUCUGUUGUAAUCUUAACAUCAGGCUUGCUCCAGCCAACGCACAAAUCGUUACAAGCAUGGUCGUCGAAAAAUUCAUUAAUUUCCUUUUGUUUCUGUAAUAUUUUUGGAGUUAGUAGAUGAUAUUCAUUGCCACUUUUUACUCCUUUGAAUAUGGCGAUAACAGACUGAUGAUUACCUUCUAUAAAUGAAAAAUGAGAAAAGGCAUCUAAAAUGAUAUCUCCUUCAAAGAAAACCAUUGUAUCCGAAAGUAAAGGUUCAAUUAGCACUAUUUCAUCUUUUUUAAAAUCUCGAAAAUCGUACUGUUUCAUACUCCGACAAAUUUUAUCCCAACGAGAAUAUCCUUUUAAGGGGGCAAGAUACUGCUGAACAAAACUAAUUUUGCCCGCCCCAGUUUUCUCUGUAAAGGCACUAGCUACACCAGCAGCAUGUGUAUUUGAAUCUAAACGAGGCUCCCAGAACUGCUCCGUUCCUGCUCUGAAUCUCCGGAAUUUAACAAUUGCUUUCUUUGGUUUGGGAAGAUGCUCGCCAUACAUAACAGCAUCAUAAACAAGUUGUGUGUACGUUACAUCUUUGGGAUAAAAUCCAAAGCAUGCCCAUACCGAUGGUUCGUCGUCUUUAUUCUCCAACGAGGCCUCCGUAAAGUGAACUAUAUCAAAUAGGCCCAUCACCUGUAAAAAUAUAUAUGCAAAGUAGUAAGAGAUGGUAAAAUGGACGCCCCUCAUCCUAUAUAUACACCAUUUUCCUUUCAGUCAAUUAUUACCUUGCUGUAUCAAAUAGAAACUUAU
rnacentral:lncRNA from 1 species